GACGAACGCUGGCGGCGUGCUUAACACAUGCAAGUCGAACGGAAAGGCCCUGCUUGCAGGGUACUCGAGUGGCGAACGGGUGAGUAACACGUGGGUGAUCUGCCCUGCACUUCGGGAUAAGCCUGGGAAACUGGGUCUAAUACCGGGUAGGAGCCAUUUUUAGUGUGAUGGUUGGAAAGUUUUUUCGGUGUAGGAUGAGCUCGCGGCCUAUCAGCUUGUUGGUGGGGUAAUGGCCUACCAAGGCGGCGACGGGUAGCCGGCCUGAGAGGGUGGACGGCCACAUUGGGACUGAGAUACGGCCCAGACUCCUACGGGAGGCAGCAGUGGGGAAUAUUGCACAAUGGGCGCAAGCCUGAUGCAGCGACGCCGCGUGGGGGAUGACGGCCUUCGGGUUGUAAACUCCUUUCGCUAGGGACGAAGCUUUUGGUGACGGUACCGAGAUAAGAAGCACCGGCUAACUACGU
rnacentral:rRNA from 1 species